CCUACGGUAGGCAGCAGUGGGGGAUCUUGCACACUGGGCGAAAGCCUGAUGCAGCGACGCCGCGUGAGUGAAGACGGUCUUCGGAUUGUAAACCUCUGUCUUUGGGGAAGAAUAGAGACGGUACCCAAUGAGGAAGCUCUGGCUAACUACGUGCCAGCAGCCGCGGGAAUAUGUAGGGAGCGAGCGUUGUCCGGAAGUACUGGGUGUAAGGGGAGCGUAGGCGGGCUUGUAAGUUGAAUGUCUAAUCCACCGUCCCAACCGGUAAUCGCGUUCAAAACUGAAGGUCUUGAGUGAAGUAGAGGCAGGCGGAAUUCCUAGUGUAGCGGUGAAAUGCGUAGAUAUUAGGAGGAACACCAGUGGCGAAGGCGGCCUGCUGGGCUUUAACUGACGCUGAGGCUCGAAAGCGUGGGGAGCAAACAGGAUUAGAUACCCCGGUAGUC
rnacentral:rRNA from 1 species